rnacentral:rRNA from 1 species
GCCUACGGGGGGCAGCAGUGAGGAAUAUUGGUCAAUGGUCGGGAGCCUGAACCAGCCAAGUCGCGUGAGGGAUGACGGCCCUAUGGGUUGUAAACCUCUUUUGUCGGAGAACAAAACCCGGGACGUGUCCCGGACUGCGUGUAUCCGAAGAAAAAGCAUCGGCUAACUCCGUGCCAGCAGCCGCGGUAAUACGGAGGAUGCGAGCGUUAUCCGGAAUGAUUGGGCGUAAAGGGUGCGUAGGCGGCCUGCUAAGUCUGGAGUGAAAGGUACCGGCUCAACCGGUACAGGCUCUGGAAACUGGCGGG